ACACACACACACACACACAACAAGGAAAAAAUGUAUAUAUACAUAUAUAACUCAAGGUAAAUAUUCCGACGUGUAAUGUAAAUAAAACCGUACCACUCUAUUCCAAAGUUCACGCAAAGUAGAUAUUCUGCAAAGAAAAUAUUAACUUGGGACGCAGGUACCCAAUGCACGAGUUGAAAAGAUCAACAUGUCGCCAACACUUCGCGGACACUCAAUUUAAAAAGUUUUUCUCUCUUUGUUUUAUCCUGAACAAACUCGAUUAAGUUCCUUUGGUCUUUGAAUUAUUUAAUUUUAUGUACACGUACCUCCUUGGGUUGUUUUAGGGACUGUUUUCAGGAAAUUGAGAAUUAAGCAUAUUUUUUUUAAUUUUACGCCCGGUAAAAAGACCUUUAAGCCAAGUCUUAUAUUCUGUUAUAACAUAAAAAAUGAUAUGAAGUUGAUUAAUUUGAAACUUUAAUCAAGUGGGAUGGAAUUAAAUGAAACAAAAUGAGAUAGUCAUAAUACAGUCUCAGUAAAAUGGUUGAGUUGAAUGUAGCCUGAGUCUAACAGAAAUCACGAUCUUCACAAUUACGAUCUUUAAACAGUUUUUUAAUAAACUAAAGAGCCUGAUUGAAGGAAAAUUAUUAAUAAUAUUAAAAUAUAUAAUAAUAUUAAAUAUUAACCUAUUGUACAAAUGUAUCUGCUUUUUUUUAUUGUUUUUUGAAUGCAAAUUGUGUUUUGGUGUGCAAUAAAGUGUAUUCUCUCUC